UUACUGUCUUCAUAGAACUUAUCACUACUCGCUUAGUGCUAGUCUUGGAACUGGAAUAUAAAGGCCAGGAGGGCGGAGAAACCUUACCUGUCUUAUCCAGGGAUAUACUAUGGUACUCGACGCUACCGGGGUACACAGUAGGUGCUCAGUGUGUGCACGUUACCUGGCAUCAGGCGCUCAGGAGUCUAUCGGGUGAAUGGGCCGCUGCAAAACUCUCCUUAGAAACCCAGUGUUUUCCCAACUGCCUGAUGACGUGGAUAGCUAGGAGCAUCUGUUUAAAGAUGCAGAUUCCUUGGCCCGCCGCCGACGUACUGCGCCCAACUCUCCAGCGGAGGGAAUCCGGGUGUCUGCGAUGCGGCUCAGGGACGGUUCCUAGAGCUGCCUGCUCCAAGGGAGCUCCGUCCUCAGGCUGGCUGAUGGGGGCGUCGGAGACCCCUUCGCUGCUUGGCCUUCCCAACCGGUAACUGUGGUUUAGAGAAAAAGACUAAAACGUGGAGAUGCCGGGGAUUGAACCCGGGGCCUCAUACAUGCAAAGCAUGCGCUCUACCACUGAGCUACAUCCCCUGACUCUUAAGCGCGUUUUCCGGGAAUGAGGAUGUAGGAAGUCGCGCCUUCGCUCCGCUUGUACCUACUUCUUACUUUAAGGACGCUCAGCGUCUCCGUGGGCUCAAGAAGGUCUCUCGGAGCGCUGCGGGAGCUCGCUGACCCGGGGCGCCCGGCGCUGCGACUCCGGAGACCCGGCCCCGAGCAGACGGCAGCGGUAGCCGGAGAACCCGGUCCCCAUAUGGAGCGACCUGGAGAAGAGCGAGAACGGCUCGUCCUCGUUAGUAUAGUGACGCACGAGGAGCCGUCCGUCCCCGUUGUGCCUGGAACCGUGUAAAUUAGGGCGCCUGCGAGAGGUGCCGUGCUGCCCCGGAAGGCGCUGAGCCAGAAAAGCUGCGUCCUCAGCGGAGGCCCCAGUAGAGGUGGAAUUCCGUCAGCUGCUCUCAUGAGGCUGUUUCUCAGCAGCGGAAUGUGGGCGUGCAUCAGCCCACCUGUUGAUACUUUUCUGUGGUUUUCAAUCUUGAGUGUAUUUUGAUAAAAAAUCAAUCAUAAAAAUAAAAUGAUGUGGCAGUGAUUGUAGCGGACUGAAUAGUAGCCUCCGCAAGAUGUGUCCGCCUGGAAGCUAGGAGUGUGAUCUUGAAAUAAGGGCCUUUGCAGGUGUCAUUAAAGUAAGAGACUCGAGAGGAGAUCAUCGUGAAUUAGGGUAGGUCCUGAGUCUAGUGACACGUGUCCUUACAAGAGACAGAAAAGGAAAGGCCACACAGAGACGUAGAAGGACAGGGGCCGACGGGGGAGCGAUGGAGCGAUGCAUCUAAAAGCCGAGGAGUGCCGAGGAUUGCCCGCCACACCAGGAGCUCCGAGAGGUUUCAUCCUCGAAGCCUCCAGGAGGAACCAACCCUGCGGACACCUUGACUUCAGACUUUUAGCCUCUAAACUGUGAGAAUAAAUCCAGUUUGUGGUCAUUCGUUACAGCAGCCCCAGGAGACACAGUAAUGAUGACCUCGUGACUCAUUUAUUCAACAAAUGUUUGUUGCCAGCUUCCUCUCUCCUGGUCAUUGGGCUGACAUGUUUGAGAAGAACGGGACAGACUGCAUGAACUGAAUGAUUG
ensembl:lncRNA